rnacentral:tRNA from 1 species
ACUGUAGCGCAAUGGAUAGCGCGUUGGACCUCUAAUCCAAAGGAAGAGGGUUCGGAUCCCACCUGGGAUG